GCGGAUGUAGCUCAGUUGGUUAGAGCGUCGGUUUGUGGUACCGAAUGUCGCCGGUUCGAAUCCGGUCAUCCGCCCCA
rnacentral:tRNA from 2 species